ACGCACGCUGGCGGCGUGCUUCACCCCUGCCAGUCGCACGGAAAGGCCCUGCUUUUGUGGGGUGCUCGAGUGGCGAACGGGUGAGUAACACGUGAGUAACCUGCCCUUGACUCUGGGAUAACUUCAGGAAACUGGGGCUAAUACCGGAUAGGAGCUCCUGCUGCAUGGUGGGGGUUGGAAAGUUUCGGCGGUUGGGGAUGGACUCGCGGCUUAUCAGCUUGUUGGUGGGGUAGUGGCUUACCAAGGCUUUGACGGGUAGCCGGCCUGAGAGGGUGACCGGCCACAUUGGGACUGAGAUACGGCCCAGACUCCUACGGGAGGCAGCAGUGGGGAAUAUUGCACAAUGGGCGGAAGCCUGAUGCAGCAACGCCGCGUGCGGGAUGACGGCCUUCGGGUUGUAAACCGCUUUCGCCUGUGACGAAGCGUGAGUGACGGUAAUGGGUAAAGAAGCACCGGCUAACUACGUG
rnacentral:rRNA from 1 species